rnacentral:rRNA from 1 species
AUACGUAGGGUGCAAGCGUUACUCGGAAUUACUGGGCGUAAAGCGUGCGUAGGUGGUUGUUUAAGUCUGUCGUGAAAGCCCUGGGCUCAACCUGGGAAUGGCGAUGGAAACUGGGCGACUAGAGUGUGGCAGAGGGUAGUGGAAUUCCUGGUGUAGCAGUGAAAUGCGUAGAGAUCAGGAGGAACAUCCGUGGCGAAGGCGACUGCCUGGGCCAACACUGACACUGAGGCACGAAAGCGUGGGGAGCAAACAGGAUUAGAUACCCUGGUAGUCCACGCCCUAAACGAUGCGAACUGGAUGUUGGGUGCAAUUUGGCACGCAGUAUCGAAGCUAACGCGUUAAGUUCGCCGCCUGGGGAGUACGGUCGCAAGACUGAAACUCAAAUGAAUUGACGGGG